rnacentral:snoRNA from 1 species
CCCGCACACUGUUAAAGCUUGAUGCUGAGGCCGGUCCCUGGCCGAUGAGCUCUCAAGUGUCGGAAGUGUGCUACAGCAAGCCACGCGGCAGGGUGUUCGCUGGCACCAGGAGAGGAGCUCCCUCCAUGAUUGGUGUUUGAUAGUAGUCCCUGCCACAGGC